rnacentral:rRNA from 1 species
UACGAGGGGGGCGAGCGUUGUUCGGAAUUAUUGGGCGUAAAGGGUGCGUAGGCGGUUUGGUAAGUCUGAUGUGAAAUCUAUGGGCUCAACUCAUAGUCUGCAUCGGAAACUGCCGGGCUUGAGUGUGGGAGAGGUGAGUGGAAUUCCUGGUGUAGCGGUGAAAUGCGUAGAUAUCAGGAGGAACACCGGUGGUGUAAACGGCUCUCUGGACCGUAACUGACGCUGAGGCACGAAAGCGUGGGUAGCAAACAGG